GAAAUUGUUCAAACAGAGAGGGAGAAUGGUAACUACAUUCCCAUUGGCUGGAGCUCCAGCACACUGCAGGGACCAUCUCUGAAGUGGAGACCCCUCUGGAUUUUCCUCCACACCCUGGUGUGUCAAGUCUCUGCAAGGCUAACCGCAUCCCCUCCCACUGAGGCCAGACGAGGCAACCCAGCUAGAAGAACAUAUCCCACAGACAGGCAACAGCUUUUGGACUAGCCACAGUUCCAGUUAUUCGGGACCCACAUGAAGACCAAGCUGCACAUCUGCUACAUAAAGGAUCCAUGUAUGAGUCUUUGAACAGAGAAAAAAAUUCUCAAAAGAAUAUUAUUCAUCUUAAAGACUUCCAUGGAAUAAAGUUCAUGAAGUGUCUGCAGUAGAAAAAUAAGGAGCCUGGCAGAUGCUCUUUUCAAUGACACCGCACAGCCUCUCGGGAAGUUGCUGAUGAUGACAGCGAUGAGCUCACCUGACAGACUGCUCUUUCUCCCUCUUCGGACACUCACACCCACACCAGGAAGAACCCGGAGGAGUGACUCAGAAUUCCCAGCAUCAGUGCCAGCUUGUGUGCUGUUGUUCUGACCGUGAGUGUGACGAUCAUGCCAGGGAGUCAGAUGUCUGCUGGAUUUAGAAAAGGAUCGAAGGUCAUGAAGGGAAGCAACAAGCCUAAGGGCUGCCAGUAGUUCUGUAGCUCUUACAACACCUCUUCACCACCCUUCCCAGCCAGGAGCAUGGCUACCAGAAGAGGAGGAACAGCAAGGGAGAGGAAGGGAUGGCUUAUUCCCCUCCUCUUCUUCCUAUCCUGAAAACACCCAUGUUACUGGCAUUCAGAUCCAUAGCGUAAAAGAUUACGUAUAAUAAAGAGAAAAUUUAACAACUUU
rnacentral:lncRNA from 1 species